CGGCCCCGGGUGUAAACCUCUUUCAGCAGGGACGAAGCGCAAGUGACGGACCGCAGAAGAAGCACCGGCCAAUUCGUGCCAGCAGCCGCGGUAAGACGAGGGUGCGAGCGUGUCCGGACUAUUGGGCGAAAGAGCCGUAGGCGGCCGUCGCGUCGACCGUGAAAACUGGGGCCAACCCCAAGCCGCGGCGAACGGGCAGGCAGAGUCGGUAGGGGAGACGGAACCCUGGUGUAGCGGUGAAAUGCGCAGAUAUCAGGAGGAACACCGGUGGCGAAGGCGGGUCUCUGGGCCGAUACUGACGCUGAGGAGCGAAAGCGUGGGGAGCGAACAGGACAGAUACCCUGGUAGUCCACGCUGUAAACGUUGGGCGCUAGGUGUGGGGGGCCUCUCCGGUUCUCUGUGCCGCAGCUAACGCAUUAAGCGCCCCGCCUGGGGAGUACGGCCGCAAGGCUAAAACUCAAAGGAAUUGACGGGGGCCCGCACAAGCGGCGGAGCACGCGGAUUAAUUCUAUGCAACGCGAAGAACCUUACCUGGGUUUGACAUGGCCGCAAAACUUCCAGAGAUGGGAGGUCCUUUCGGGGGCGGUCACAGGUGGUGCAUGG
rnacentral:rRNA from 1 species